GGAAGCAAUUGCUUGCCCAUUUCCUGUUUGUGUCUUUCUUAAUCUUUUUUUUUUGAAACUGUGUCUUUCUUAACCGGUUAUUAAUCAGAUGACACAAAGUCAAAAAGGAUAAACCAUCACCUAUAUCCACCCGCCCAACCCACUGUUGACAGUCUGACACAGAGGGCACACCUAAUCCCUUGGCCUUUGUACUGCGGCCAAGAGAUAGCAAGGAGUAGCAAUAGCCAAUAGAUGCAGCGAGACGGGGACAUGUGCCGUGCCCCCACCUGAUGAUCUGCAGGACUGCACGAUACGAGCAUGGCUGCCUUGACGCGUCCGUCUGUCUACCUCUCUCUCCCAGCUGGGACUUGCGAUCAGAUGACAUUGACAGCAGCCGAGUACUAACUCGCAUUGCAUUGCAUAUGCAUUCAUUCAUGGUCGCGCGCGUCGCCCACGUUUGCAUUUAUACAUGAUGAUGACUGUCUGCCUGGCGCCAGCAUCAGCAAUACAAAACUUCCAUGAUCCAUCCAUCCAUGAUCCAUCCAUUCAUGGCGGACUAACAGUACUUGUCGCACGCACGCCGGCUGCCAUGCGCCAGCUGAGCUUGCUCAUUCCAUUCCGUGCCCGGCCGACACCGACAGUAUUUGCCGCUGUAGCUUUUCCUCCAGGAAGUAAACGUGUCGACGAUGCAGCAGUUGUUCAAGUAAGUGUUCAGAAUGGCGAUGGAACUGAAGAAAGCUGCAUCGAUCAGAUCACCGACACCAAGCAACAAGCUGCCUCUUCCUUGGCUCUUGGUGGGUCCCCAUCUUCAAAGAAGAAGCAUCACCUUCCAUCCAUCCAUUGACUAGGCCGUGCAGUGGUGGCUUUUACAGCUAGCUUGGCCUUUUCACCCGUCUUUCGUCGGUUGCCGUCGUCAGAGGUCAGACUUCGCUCUCGAGAAAGGUAUUGGCAAACCAAACCAAACAAAAAAAAAACUUGGCUUUUGAGUCACUCAACCGUACCCCAACAGAAAUCCAUGCGUGAUGUGAAUGCAUGAACGAACACGCGGAAAGGUGUAAAUGGACGGGAAGAAAAGAAAACUGCCAAUGUCCUUGUGUUGAUCGGUUGGAGAGGCAGCAGCACCAACCGUAUCUAUCGAGUGACCAACCCAAUGGCAAUGGUAUGGUUCUGGUUCGCUGACAUGUCACUGGCCCUCGAUCGAGCUAGCACGGCUGCAGGCCAAGGCCGUCGUCGAGUAUUCGAGUGGCGAGGGCGCUGCUGGUGCAUGCUGAAAAGGAGCCUCAUCAGGUACUCCUCGUUGCUCUGCAGACACGCAAGCAUAUAUAUGUGUGCCAGCAGAGCCUCAGGAGAGGAGACGCAGCUGCGUCGUUCUUCUGAUCUUCCUCGCACAGCUUCUGAUUUUAGGGGCAGAGCGUCUGCUUUCUGGUUGUGCCUGCCACUGUGGGGGAGAAGGACGAUACAGUGCCUGCCACUGUACUGACUCUGGCCCGUGAACUCAUCACUGUUGUGUGGUUGUGCCGUUCAUUCGUUCACUCAUUCAUUCAUAGGUCCUGAGUCGCUGUCUGUCGUGCGAAGGACCUGUCCUAAUCCUAUGGUUGCAACAAACUUGACCUCUGAACUAGAGAACCUUUGUCCUGGUUACAAUUCGGUUAGCAUCUUUUAGGAAGGAAGGAAUGCAUGUGUGUAUAGAUAAGCAUGCAUGAUCUUGGUCUCGCUCUCAACCACCUCCAUCCAUGUUGGUCUUCUCUUAAUUUUUUUCUAAACUGAAAUUUUGUCUAGGACCCAUCAGCCGUGGAAGUUUAUCCGAUUCUUUUGUAAGAAGUCCAUUAUUCAUCCAAACCGACCUGUUCAAGAUAUACUGUAGCUAAUUACUUAAGACUAGUCAGUUUUUAUUUCCUUUUUAUCUGAUCUUUACUUGCUGGCGCGCACAUCGAGUAUAUGUAAAAGAACUUUAUGUGAAUAGUAAUAUAAAAGGAAAAGAGAAUGGGUGUCCGGUAAGGACAAAAUUGGAUUUCUAGAACUCCAAACAAUAUGUUACUAGAUUACCCAAACAAAGCCUAAAUAGGAAACAUUAUACAUUUGUAUACAUGACAAGAAAAAUUAAAAUAAAGGAAGAAAUGUAUGGUGAAAAUUUGACAGCUGACCUAGAGCAACUAACAAGAGAUGUCCACUUGCUAGCAAAGGUCUUUUGGCUUUGCACGUACCACGCCACGCGUAUAUAUUAUAUACCAUAUCCAAAGAAUAUGUUUUUUUGUUGGUGAGCCUUAGGGCAUCAUUGUACCUUAAUGAUGUGAAUUAGGCUAACAUUAUUCUGUUAAAAGUUGCAUCUCAUCAUGAGAUGGCAUGGGGAUCAGAUCACCUUCUGCUUGUUUAUGGCACAUCUGCGGAUUCGGUGUAACGACCAAUCAUUGACCAGCUUUCUAUCUGCAUACUGCAAUCGGAGGCCCAGUCUUCUUUGAUUGCACUUUGCAGUAUCCACAGGGUUUUUACAGACGAUAAAGCCCAGCAGCACCACAACACAGCCCGAAUAAUUACGAGAUCAUCUCCCAAAGUCCGAAGACUUCAACUGGAAAAAAUGGGAAAAAGUGCAGCACAUGGAAAUUCAGAAGGAAGCUUUGAACCCUAGUCUCACAAGUCAAUGCCUGGACCUCACUGAUUACUGUUUCGAAAAUAGUUCAAGGACCACAAGCAAGCGGGAGAUAAGUCAGGUGAUCUGUACUUGAGUACUUUCCAUGGAAUCCAAUGCAUCUCCCAACAAUUCAUGUUGUCAUCAACAUCAACAAUUAUAACUCAACCACAAUGUGGUAACCCAAACGAAGAACAAGCAUAGCUGCCAUCCACAAAGCACCUCAAGAAUUUGGUGAAGAAAGUACCACGGUUAACGGUACCGUUUUUAACCGAAUUUCGCCCGCGACGAAAACAGGAAAUAAUCGAAUUUCGCAUUUCCCGUAUUUCGCUGUUUUUUGACCAGAUUUUGGUGACUUUUGACCAGGAAAUUGUGUUUCUUGGGAGGCGAGAUCAAUGUCUGCUACGAAGAAAACGACCCUCUGCGCUAUUAUGGACCGUCAGAGUCCCAGUUAUGGACCAUCUGGACGUUCAUAGAGAAGGAGCCACCCCUACGUCAAGUCGUGGACCGUCUGGGCCGCAGACCAUCCGCGCCUCCGCAGGGUGACGCGCACUAGCGCGGUAGCGCCCGUGGUGGUGGCGGCCCACCCGCCCACAGGGGCGGCAGCUGUGGCAUGGCCGCCCGCGGCCGUGCUUGCUGGCGCAGGGGGCGACAGAACCAGAUCCGCUGCCUUACGACAGCCUGCCGUGCGCUCGUCGAUCUUCAAACCAACGGUGAUCUGCUGCCCUCUCCCUCAGUAGUGUAUGGAGCGGCCCAACAGAGUAAUUCUGGCCCACUUCUUUUCUUCGUUUCUUAUUUCUUUCAUCUAGGAACACAGCGCAACGGAGGGAAAACCGUGGGAGGAAAAAGCAGCGGGAAAGGCUGCCUGUUUUGGCGCCAGAUAUAGAGAGACAGUGACAAAAGGAACCAACGGACAGGGCAAAAAGCACCAAAUACAGAGAGACAGCGACGAAGGGAACCAACUAACGGACAAGGCAAAAAGCUGAGAAGCAAAGAUGGAGGAAGAUGCGACCAACGAAUCAAACAUGGAGAAUGUGUUGCCCUGUUUGAUUCCUCGUAUUGGAAUGAAAUUCAGAAAUCCAGAUGAGGGCUGGAGAUUUUGGUUAGCGUAUAGUGGUCAAAAAGGUUUUGAUGUUAGAAAAAGGUACUCAAAUACAAGUAAGAUUGAUGGAAAUGUCACGUCAUGUAGAUUUGUUUGUGCUAAUCAAGGUCAUCGAGGGAAAGAUAAAAAGGGGUAUGAAGUAAAGUGUCAUCGAGCUGAAACUAGAACAGAUUGUGAAGUGCGUAUGGGACUUGUAAAAGAUAAAGAGUUUGGUGGAUACAAAGUUUAUGAUUUGAAUUUAGAACACAA